rnacentral:rRNA from 1 species
UUUAUUUGAUAGUACCUUUACCUGGAUAACCGUGGUAAUUCUAGAGCUAAUACAUGCUAAAAACCUCGACUUCGGAAGGGGUGUAUUUAUUAGAUAAAAAACCAAUGCCCUCCGGGGCUCCUUGGUGAUUCAUAAUAACUCAACGAAUCGCAUGGCCUUGCGCCGGCGAUGGUUCAUUCAAAUUUCUGCCCUAUCAACUUUCGAUGGUAGGAUAGUGGCCUACCAUGGUCUUUACGGGUAUCGGGGAAUCAGGGUUCUAUUCCGGAGAGGGAGCCUGAGAAACGGCUACCACAUCCAAGGAAGGCAGCAGGCGCGCAAAUUACCCAAUCCCGACACGGGGAGGUAGUGACAAUAAAUACUGAUACAGGGGUCUUUUGGCUCGUGUAAUUGGAAUGAGUACAAUCUAAAUCCCUUAACGAGGAACAAUUGGAGGGCAAGUCUGGUGCCAGCAGCCGCGGUAAUUCCAGCUCCAAUAGCGUAUAUUAAAGUUGUUGCCGUUAAAAAGCUCGUAGUUGAACCUUGGGCCUGGCUGAUCUGUCCUCCUAAUCGAGCGCACGGAUUCGGUCGGGCCUUUCCUUCUGGGGAGCCCG